GGGCCUCUAGCUCAUUUGGUAGAGCACUUCCAUGGCAUGGAAGGGGUGAGGGGUUCGAAUCCCCUGAGGUCCACCA
rnacentral:tRNA from 1 species